GAGAGAGAGAGAGAGAGAGAGAGAGAGAGAGAGAGAGAGAGAGAGAGAGAGAGAGAGAGAGAGAGAGAGAGAGAUAUUAAAAUGGGCUCAUGGAGGGUCUAGAAAGUUUCUUCGCCUCUAGGGAGAGGAGCAUGAGAUCUGACGAUGAAGAAGUUCUCGUA